rnacentral:rRNA from 1 species
UACAGGGGGUGCAAACGUUGCUCGGAAUCAUUGGGCGUAAAGCGCACGUAGGCGGUCUGUUAUGUCGGAUGUGAAAGCCCUUGGCUCAACUGAGGAAGUGCAUCCGAAACUGGCAGGCUAGAGUACUAAAGAGGAUCGCGGAAUUCCCGGUGUAGAGGUGAAAUUCGUAGAUAUCGGGAGGAACACCGGUGGCGAAGGCGGCGAUCUGGGUAGAUACUGACGCUGAGGCGCGAAAGCGUGGGGAGCGAACAGG